GCCCCGCCAAGAUGGCGGGCGGUGGCGUGUGGGGGUGGCUCGGCGCUGCCGCCGCUCUUCCCGCCGCCUGAAGGGUCCUUUCGCCCUCACAGAAGGCCCAGUGGGCUCUGCGAGGGGAAGGUCCCUUUUCCCUCUAGGUGGAGUUAUUACACAUCAGAUUUCAGCUUCCUCCUGCAGCCGUGCAGACAGUGAGAGAUCCCUGCCUCUGCCUGGGUGCUUCCCUGGAAUUUAGUGGCCUGAAUUUAAUGAAGCCCAGCGUACCUCGGAGAGCUUACACGUGUUGCAUGCUUGGGAUGGGAAAGCCCAUCAGCAGGGGAGGAUCCAGGUUUGCAUCCCGAGGGAUCGCAGACCUUCGGCCUGGGAAAAGUCCCCGUUUGCAUCCUGGAGUUAUGAAAACCAGACGGGAGAGCUUAAGGGACACCAAAGGAGCAGUUUCUGGGGGGAGACUGAAGCCUGAAAUAUGUGGAACAGCUGGAGGGAUGCAGGGGAUUUCAAAGGGAAGGCUGGGAUGCCGAUGGAAACGGGAGCAGGGUAAGCACCGCACUUGGUGCUUACGGGAAGAGCUGUGAGCGGGGGGGGCACUUUAUUUGUUUCAGAUCUAUAACAUCCAGCAGAUAUUUAUGGAUCUUUUAUCUGUUUAGUGCCUCGGGGCUGCAAAUCAAAGCACGCGGGGCUC